rnacentral:rRNA from 1 species
UCGACGAUGAAUCUUCUAGCUUGCUAGAAGUGGAUUAGUGGCGCACGGGUGAGUAAUGCAUAGGUUAUGUGCCCUUUAGUCUGGGAUAGCCACUGGAAACGGUGAUUAAUACUGGAUACUCCCUACGGGGGAAAGUUUUUCGCUAAAGGAUCAGCCUAUGUCCUAUCAGCUUGUUGGUGAGGUAAUGGCUCACCAAGGCUAUGACGGGUAUCCGGCCUGAGAGGGUGAUCGGACACACUGGAACUGAGACACGGUCCAGACUCCUACGGGAGGCAGCAGUAGGGAAUAUUGCUCAAUGGGGGAAACCCUGAAGCAGCAACGCCGCGUGGAGGAUGAAGGUUUUAGGAUUGUAAACUCCUUUUGUUAGAGAAGAUUAUGACGGUAUCUAACGAAUAAGCACCGGCUAACUCCGUGCCAGCAGCCGCGGUAAUACGGAGGGUGCAAGCGUUACUCGGAAUCACUGGGCGUAAAGAGUGCGUAGGCGGGGUAAUAAGUCAGAUGUGAAAUCCUGUAGCUUAACUACAGAACUGCAUUUGAAACUGUUACUCUGGAGUGUGGGAGGGGUAGGUGGAAUUCUUGGUGUAGGGGUAAAAUCCGUAGAGAUCAAGAGGAAUACUCAUUGCGAAGGCGACCUGCUGGAACAUUACUGACGCUGAUGCACGAAAGCGUGGGGAGCAAACAGGAUUAGAUACCCUGGUAGUCCACGCCCUAAACGAUGGAUGCUAGUUGUUGCCUUGCUUGUCAGGGCAGUAAUGCAGCUAACGCAUUAAGCAUCCCGCCUGGGGAGUACGGUCGCAAGAUUAAAACUCAAAGGAAUAGACGGGGACCCGCACAAGCGGUGGAGCAUGUGGUUUAAU